rnacentral:rRNA from 1 species
CCUACGGGGGGCAGCAGUGAGGAAUAUUGGUCAAUGGGCGCGAGCCUGAACCAGCCAAGUCGCGUGAGGGAUGAAGGUUCUAUGGAUCGUAAACCUCUUUUAUAAGGGAAUAAAGUGUGGGACGUGUCCUAUUUUGUAUGUACCUUAUGAAUAAGGAUCGGCUAACUCCGUGCCAGCAGCCGCGGUAAUACGGAGGAUCCGAGCGUUAUCCGGAUUUAUUGGGUUUAAAGGGUGCGUAGGCGGCCUUUUAAGUCAGCGGUGAAAGUCUGUGGCUCAACCAUAGAAUUGCCGUUGAAACUGGGGGGCUUGAGUAUGUUUGAGGCAGGCGGAAUGCGUGGUGUAGCGGUGAAAUGCUUAGAUAUCACGAAGAACUCCGAUUGCGAAGGCAGCCUGCCGGGGUGCGACUGACGCUGAGGCUCGAAGGUGCGGGUAUCAAACAGGAUUAGAUACCCUGGUAGUC